UCUGGUGCAAUCCCUACUCAGAUAAGCCCAACUCUUCUCAAUAUAGACUUGUCCUACAACAAUCUAUCAGGGACCCUCCCCUCUUGGGUGAACAAACAAAAUUUACAACUAAAUUUGGUUGCUAACAAUUUGACAAUAGAAGGUUCAAAUAGCAGUGACCUUCCUUUUGGACUCAAUUGUCUACAGCGAAAUUUU